AAAAACUGCAUGGCUUUUCAUGAUUUAGCUUUAGAAUUAUUAUAGCAUUUUUAUUAGUUGAAUUAGUCACAAACCAUUCUAGAUUUAAGGACAGAGUACACAGACUCCUAAGAUAUCAAUAGAAGAAGUGCCAAAAUGAUGUUCAUCCUUCCUUUUGUGGAAACACUGGCUUCCAUUCUUCUCUUAAUCCUCUCCUUAUGGAGCCACACCAGGCAGAUGAAGCUACAUGGUAUUUAUUCCAGGGAUCCCAGCACAGAAGCCCAUGUAAAACCUAUAAAAGCUAUAAUUUCAUUUCUA
rnacentral:lncRNA from 10 species